UGUUAAAAAUUUCAUCAACUUUUACCGUUAAAAACUGGUGUGGCUGAUGUCAAAUCAGAUUGUUACACAUGGUGUGCCAUGCUACCUCAUGUAGACAGGACCAAUUUUUAACAAUAGAAAUAGGUGUAAUUUUUAAUA
rfam:Gossypium raimondii Chr04_contig_1390, whole genome shotgun sequence.